rnacentral:lncRNA from 1 species
UUUUGGGGGUUUAUUCUGUUUUUUGGGUGGAUUUUUGGGUUUAUUUUGGGUUUAUUCUGGGUUUUUGGGAUGGAUGGGUUUCUAUGGGAUUUUUGGGGGGACAUUUUAGGUUUAUUUAGGGUUUUUGGGGGGGGAUUUUUGGUUUUUUUGGGAGGAUUCUUGGGUUUAUUUUUGGAGUUGGGUGGUUUUUCUGAUUUUUUUCCGGGGGUUUUGGGGAUUUUUGGGGAUUUUUGGCUGACUUUUGACCCCUUCCAGGCUCCCCAAUAGCAUCAAUUCCUUGCCCGAGGAACUGCUGGAAUGGCAGGAGCUGAGCCCCCCCGAGCCCCCCGGGGAGGGGGCGGGGCCCGGGGAGGGGGCGGGGCCAGGGGAGGGGGCGGGGCCGGCGCUGCCCCCGCCCCCCGGGGAGCCCCCCCCGCCGCCCCUCCCCCCCUCGGCCGUGGUGCCGGCGACCGAAGACUACGGAGGGGAGCACGACUUCCGGCUGGAAUUCCAGGAGACGGGAACGGCCAAGAGCGUCACCUGCACCUACUCUCCGCUGCUGAACGAGCUGUUCUGGGGUCGUUUCUGUGGGGUUUUUAUAGGAUUUAUUGGAUUUCUAUGGGGUUUGUGUGGGGUUUAAUGGAUUUCUAUGGGAUUUUUUCAUUUCUGGGUGGAUUUUUUUGGGAUUUUUUUUGGUUUUUACGUGUUUUUUUGCUGUUUUUUUGCUGUUUCCCCGCAGUACUCUCCGCUGCUGAACGAGCUGUUCUGGGUUGAUUCCUGUGGGGUUUUAUGGGAUUUCCAUGGGAAUUUAUGGAUUUCUGUGGGAUUUCCAUGGGGAUUUAUGGAU